rnacentral:rRNA from 1 species
CCUACGGGUGGCUGCAGUGGGGAAUAUUGGGCAAUGGGCGCAAGCCUGACCCAGCAACGCCGCGUGAAGGAAGAAGGCUUUCGGGUUGUAAACUUCUUUUCUCAGGGACGAAGCAAGUGACGGUACCUGAGGGAUAAGCCACGGCUAACUCCGUGCCAGGAGCCGCGGCAAUACGUAGGUGGCAAGCGUGAUGCGGAUUUACUGGGUGUAAAGGGCGUGUAGGCGGGGACGCAAGUCAGAUGUGAAAACCACGGGCUCAACCUGUGCCCUGCAUUUGAAACUGUGUUGCUUGAGUACUGGAGAGGCAGACGGAAUUCCUAGUGUAGCGGUGAAAUGCGUAGAUAUUAGGAGGAACACCAGUGGCGAAGGCGGUCUGCUGGACAGCAACUGACGCUGAGGCGCGAAGGCGUGGGGAGCAAACAGGAUUAGAUACCCUGGUAGUC